rnacentral:rRNA from 1 species
GUGGGGAAUAUUGGACAAUGGGCGAAAGCCUGAUCCAGCCAUGCCGCGUGAAUGAUGAAGGUCUUAGGAUUGUAAAAUUCUUUCACCGGGGACGAUAAUGACGGUACCCGGAGAAGAAGCCCCGGCUAACUUCGUGCCAGCAGCCGCGGUAAUACGAAGGGGGCUAGCGUUGCUCGGAAUUACUGGGCGUAAAGGGCGCGUAGGCGGACAGUUUAGUCAGAGGUGAAAGCCCAGGGCUCAACCUUGGAAUUGCCUUUGAUACUGGCUGUCUUGAGUACGGGAGAGGUGAGUGGAACUCCGAGUGUAGAGGUGAAAUUCGUAGAUAUUCGGAAGAACACCAGUGGCGAAGGCGACUCACUGGCCCGUUACUGACGCUGAGGCGCGAAAGCGUGGGGAGCAAACAGGAUUAGAUACCCGGGUAGUCC